rnacentral:ribozyme from 14 species
GACAGGUAGAAAGAAAAAAUAAAGACCGCCGUUUCGUCUUUUGCCGUUUGUUAUUUUCUUCUUUUCGCAUUUCUCUCUCUC